AUGACCACAGAGUUCAAUGAAUAUUCAGCUAAUAGAUUAAAACAUUUGACCUGACUUCUAUCUAUGCAGAGUUGAACAAGACUUCGAGAACUCAUGCACAAACCUUUCAGAAAUCAGAAGCAAUCAACAAGUUAAAGCAAUCAGAAGAAAGAAAAAUAAAGAGAAGAUGCAAGACAACAAUUUUAUCGAGGUUCACCCCAAUCUGGGUUACGUCCUCGUUGAGCUCUCCUCAGGGAAGCUCAGAUCUGCACUAGACAUUCAAUUUGGUACAUCAAUGAUCAAGGAAUCCAUGCCACAGUCUCGACAGAGUCAACCAAGAGGUGAACCCCUUUUACAAGAGUGGUCAAGCCUCACACUCACAACCCCUUUCUUUCCUUUUUUUUGCUCUUCAGAAUUUUCAGGUAAGGUUAAGGAGAAGAUCAACCAACCAUGAGUACAGCAGACGUGAGGCGGGGUGUACAUGUUUGGCCAGCCUGGCAGCCACAGCCAAAGGAUUUUGGGAGAUGUUUGUGAUGAAUUUAGAUUUUGUCGUUUAGACGACUUAAUACAAUUUUUAUGUUGUAAAUGUUUCUAAACUGUAUUUUGGGAUCCCAAGUGCAAAACUGUUAUGGUUUACUAUGAAAGAUUACUAUCUCUAAUGUUUUUCCUUUGUUUACGGCUUAAUUACACUGUUUGACCUAAAACCUCGAUUAACGAGUUAAAAGCACAUUUUCAAACUCACUUAGUAAUGACUCUAAGGAAGUAGGGCAUUACAACUUGGUAUCAGAGCGAGCCAAGGUUAUUGGUUCUAGAGAUUGACCGAACAUGUACACAUGCAGUCAGUGACAGACUUAACUCAGGGUUGGUUGGCAUAUUUGUUGAGAUGCCUCGACAAUCAGCUGGACUCCGCGACAGUAGGGCCGAGGAUGACAAUGAGGGUCAGGACCCUCCACCUGCCCCACAGAACUGGCAACAGAUAUUGGCCGAAAUGGAGGCUAGACUACAGAGAACAGAGGAAGAUUUGUGACAGAUGAGGCAGCAGGCCCCGCCUCAAGUUACUGGGAUGCCAGUGCAGCAGGUUGCAGCGUCGGUGCCAAUUCAGUUUGCUUUGGAGAAUAAGUGGGAACCUUUGUAUGAGAGGUUCAGGAAGUAACAACCUCCUACCUUUGUGGGUGGAUCAGACCCACUACUGGCAGAGCAGUGGAUGAACAUGAUUUCCUUGAUCUUAGACUUUAUGAGGGUCGAAGGAAGUGAAAGGGUUGCUUGUGCGAGCUAUAUGCUUAGGGAUGAUGCUCGCAUCUGGUGGGAUGUGGUGAGUCAGCAGAGGAAUGUUGCAGUCAUGACAUGGGAGGAAUUUAAGAGUAUCUUUAAUGAGAAAUACUACAUUGUGGUAGUACGAGCUACGAAGGUUGAUGAGUUUAUCAACCUGACUCAGAAUCGAUCGACAGUAACAGAGUAUGCAAUAAAGUUUGAUAGAUUGGCGAAGUUUGCGCCAGAUCUAGUGCCGACAGAUGCGUCCAGGAGGGAUAGGUUCGUGCAGGGGUUGAAUGUCAUGAUCACCCGCGAUGUGAAUAUUACCUUGGAUCCAGCGACUACUACUUAUGGCCAAGCGGUGGAUAAGGCCCUUACUGCAGAGAGGGCUGAGGAUCGGAUAUGGAAGGGCAGCGGUGUUAGGCGCGAUGCCAAGAGGGCGGUGCCUCCUUUUGUUGGGUCUAGUUGGGGCAGUGGCCCCAGUGAGCAGAAAAGAAGGGUUCCAGAUUCAUUUACUCCUCCUAUUUCUGAUAGGAGAGUGCGAGGUGCUUCUACUGGCCGUCAGGGUGGCAGUGAUAAUUGGAGGAGUUUCCCUAUGUGUCCACGGUGCAGGCGUCGACACCAGGGUGAGUGCAGGAGCAGGGCUUGUUUUGUUUGUGGGAGUGCCAGCCAUCUGAGGAGGGAUUGCCCUCAAGUUAAGAAGGAGGAGCAGAAGCAGAGUGGCAGUCUUGCUCCUGCCAGGGUAUUCACUUUGACACAGACUGAGGCGGAGGCUAGCCCCUCAGUGGUGACAUGUCAUAUCUCUAGUGCUGGUUCUUUGUAUACUGCAUUGUUUGAUUCAGGGGCUACCCAUUCAUUUGUAUCUGCUAGGGUGAUAGAUCAGCUUUGUAGACCUAGUGGUGUGUAUGCUAGUGGAUUUCAGACUUUGUUGCCAACAGGAGAAUUGGUAGUCUCUAGGAAGUGGAUUAGGGCGUUGCCAGUGGAGGUAGAUGGUAGGGAAUUUUUUGUUGAUUUGAUUAAGCUAGAGAUGGAUGACUUUGACAUGAUCUUGGGAAUGGAUUGGCUAUCCAAGUAUGGGGCAACGAUUGACUGUAGGCGCAAAAUGGUGACUUUUGAACCAGAAGGGGAGGUACCUUUUGUGUUUGUGGGGUCAGUUAGUGGACCGCGUGUACCAAUGAUUUCAGCCCUAAGGGCUAGGGACCUGAUGCAGGAAGGUUGCAUAGGAUUCCUGGCAAGCGUUGUGGAUACUUCUAGGGUGGUGUCAGUGGAUCGGGUGAGACAAGGGUGGUGUGUGAGUUUUCGAAUUUGUUUCCAGAGAAUUUGCCAGGGUUACCGCCUUAGAGGGAGAUUGACUUUGUUAUAGAGUUGGUACUAGGAGCAGAGCCAGUAUCUAGGACACCUUAUAGAAUGGCUCCGGCGGAAUUAAAGGAGUUGAAGAUUCAGUUGCAGGAGUUACUUGAUUUGGGGUUCAUCAGACCGAGUUUCUCGCCAUGGGGUGCUCCAGUAUUGUUCGUUAAGAAGAAGGAUGGGUCCCUUAGGAUGUGUAUUGAUUACAGGGAGCUGAACAAGUUAACCAUUAAGAACAAGUAUCCACUGCCUAGGAUCGAUGAUUUGUUUGAUCAGCUACAGGGAAGAACAAUGUUUUCCAAGAUAGAUCUCCGAUCAGGUUACCAUCAGCUAAGGAUUAAAGAGGAGGACAUACCAAAGACUGCUUUCCGAACGAGGUAUGGACAUUAUGAAUUCCUGGUUAUAUCCUUUGGAUUAACCAAUGCCCCAGCAGCUUUUAUGGACAUGAUGAAUAGGGUUUUCAAGGAUUAUCUAGACAAGCUUGUGAUCGUAUUCAUCGACGACAUCUUAGUGUACUCUCAGUCAGAGAUGGAGCACGAGCAGCAUUUGCGGUUGGUAUUACAGCGGUUGAGGGAGCAUAAGUUAUAUGCUAAGUUCAGUAAGUGUGAGUUUUGGUUGCCACAAGUUACAUUUCUGGGCCAUAUCGUCAGUAAGGAGGGGAUUCUGGUUGACCCAAGUAAGAUUGAGGCGGUCAGAGAUUGGGGAACUAAAGCGACGAUUGAUUACUGCGCCAGUACUUAGCUUGCCGACAAAGAAUGAAAAGUCUGUGGUCUACUAUGAUGCAUCCAGGCAAGGUUUGGGGUGUGUUGAUGCAAGCUGGCAAGGUGAUAGCCUAUGCAUCGAGACAGUUGAAAGAAUAUGAGCAGAGAUAUCCUACGCAUGACUUGGAGUUGGCAGCGGUGGUGUUUGCGCUUAAGAUUUGGAGGCAUUAUCUUUAUGGUGAGAAGUGUGAGAUAUACACCGACCAUAAGAGCCUAAAGUAUUUCUUUACCCAAAAGGACUUGAAUAUGCACCAGAGGCGGUGGCUGGAGUUGGUUAAGGAUUAUGAUUGUGAUAUCCUUUACCAUCCUGGGAAGGCUAAUGUAGUGGCUGAUGCAUUGAGUCAGAAGGGCUCAGGGUAGUUGUUUAGCUCAAGGCAGAUAUCUGAUAAGUUAGUUGAGGAGAUGACCAGAGCAGGUAUAGAGUUGGUGGUUGGUCAGUUGGCCAACAUCAUUCUUCAGUCUACACUCCUUGAGAGAAUCAAGGAAGCACAGGGGAAGGAUUCUCAGUUGCGAGGCCAUAGGGAGAAUGCCUUAGUCGGAGCGACAAAGGACUUCUCCAUCUCAGAGAUGGGAUUCUUGAAGUAUAAGAGCUGGAUCUGUGUUCCAAUGGAUUCUGAUAUCCGGCGAGAAAUCUUGGAUGAAUCGCAUACCACUCCCUAUUCCUUGCACCCGGGUACGACAAAGAUGUACCAGGACUUGAGAACUCUGUAUUGGUGGUCGGGCAUGAAGAGGGAUGUGGUGGAUUAUGUGGCUAAGUGCUUAACUUGUCAGCAGGUUAAAGCUGAGCACCAGAGGCCAGCGGGGUUAUUGCAGCCUUUGGGGAUCCCAGAGUGGAAGUGGGAAGAUGUUACUAUGGAUUUUGUAGUUGGUUUACCGAGAACUGUGGGACAGCAUGACUUAGUGUGGGUGAUUAUGGAUAGGUAUACCAAGUCCGCCCACUUUUUGCCUGUUAAGACAACUUAUACUGUGGAGCAGUACGCGAAAUUGUAUGUAAAGGAAAUUGUUCGACUUCAUGAGGCUCCAAGGUCGAUAGUGUCGGACAGAGACCCCACCUUCACUUCCAAGUUCUGGGAGAGUCUGCAGAAGGCUAUGGGCACGCAGUUACGGUUUAGUACCGCUUAUCAUCCUCAGACGGAUGGGCAGUCUGAGAGGAUGAUUCAGAUAUUGGAGGAUCUGCUGCGAGCCUGUGUGCUUGACUUUGGGGGAUCGUGGAGUAAGUAUCUCCCUUUGAUCAAAUUCUCGUACAACAACAGUUAUCAGGCGACCAUUGGUGUGGCUCCGUACGAGAUGCUUUAUGGAAGGAAGUGUAGAUCACCAAUUCAUUGGGAUGAGACCGGUGAGAGAAAGUAUUUGGGUCCAGAGAUGGUUCAGAGGACCAAUGAGGCAGUUGAGAAGAUUAGAGCGCGUAUGCUCGCCUCCCCGAGUCGACAGAAAAGUUAUGCAGACCUGAGACGCAGGAGCGUGGAGUUUCAGGUUGGUGAUCAUGUGUUCCUUAGGGUUUCACCCAUGAGGGGUGUGAAACAGUUUGGUGUUCGGGGUAAGUUGAGCCUCAGGUAUGUUGGCCCCUUCGAGAUUCUGGAAUGAGUUGGGGAGGUAGCUUACAGAUUAGCGAUGCCUCCAGUUUUAUCAGGGGUUCAUGAUGUAUUCCAUGUAUCCAUGCUCCGGAACUAUAUGUCAGAUUCAACGCAUGUUUUAAGUUUUGAGAAUUUGGAACUUGAUCAGGAUUUAUCCUAUGAAGAGAAACCGUUUCAGAUUCUUGACCGAAAAGAUAAGGUUUUGAGGAACAAGACCAUCGCCUUGGUGAAAGUGCUGUGGAGAAACAGCAAGGUUGAGGAGGCGACGUGGGAACUUGAGUCAGAGAUGAGGGAGUGGUACCCCGAGUUGUUCAGGUAAUUUCGAGGACGAAAUUUCUGUAAGGAGGGGAUAGUUGUAACGACCCGAAUUUGCUAAUCAGGCUUAGGGCCUUGAUUAGUGUGCCUGGAGGGAAAUAAGUGAUUUAAUAUGCUUAUAUGUGGAUUUAUGUGAAUAUAUGAUUAUGAUGCAUGCUUAAUUGAGUUAAAUGUGCAUGUGGGCCCCGUCUGGAUAUUAGGGGCAUAAGUGUGAUAAAUGAGAUAAAUGUUGUAUAUAUGUGAUAUGUCUGUACAGCACGAUCUGAGACAAUUCUGGGGAGCGGUUAGCCAGAGUGUCACAACGGGGUAGAGAUUCGGACUUGGGGCGAGUCGAGGGGUAAUUUGGGUAUUAGAUGAGUUAUGGGGUUAUCGGGACAUGAAAAUAAAUAUUUGGAGAUAUAUUCAAGGAUAGAAUGUCUAUGCGGGAAUAUUUGAGAAAUUUACCAUUUUGCCCUCGAGGACGUUUUGGUACCCCGAGCCUUGAGGUAACCCUUUAGACUUAAGUCAAAUAAAACAAAAAGGGAGAAUUGUUUAGAAACUUGAGGAAACCGACACAUAUUUCCCUUGAAUUGAAGAUAGCUCUUGCCUCUCUCUCUCUUUCACUCUCUAAGGUAAAACUUAAAGGGAACUCAGAGGAAUUGGCUAGGAAUUAAAGGGAUUUCAGCUGGGAUACUCUAGGGACUUGAAGCUUGAAGAUUGAGGCAUAGGGGGAACUGGUUCAGAAGCUUAAUUCAGUAAGAGGUAAGUUCUAAUUAAUAAGAUUUGGUCUUGAAUUUCUGUUGGUUUUGAGGAUUGCAUGUUGGUCAAGUUUGGUCUACUUUUGGGUGCCUUAGCUGAGUUUUGGAGUAGGAUUCAAUGGGGUUUUAGUGCUAUUAUUGAGCUGGAAUGAUGGUGUUAAUUAUCUAGGAUUGUUAGUCUGGUUUUGGUGAGGAUUGGCUUGAAGAAAAGGUAGAAAACUGAUGAGGAAUUAUGGGUUCGGAGGUGAGAGUCGUGGCCCUAGGAGGGGUGCGCCGCGGCCCGUGUGCGCGCGCUUCCAUGGGAGGCCGAGAAGCUCAUGCGCGUCGCGGCGCCUGGUGGGCGCGCCGCUGCCUGUGUGGGGGUCAGUGAGGUGCUAGCCUCUGUUUCGAGGCUAGCCGCGGCUCUUGUGGGUGGGGCCACGACCCUUAGUGCCAGUUUGAGUUUUUAGGGUAUUUUAGGUUUGGGAACUCAAGGGGUAAGGCUCGGGGUGGAUUUUAUCACCCGGACUGAUAAGAUUCAAGGACCUGGAGGUUAGGGUUAUGGCUCGAAUUUAUUUAUUGGAUUAGAAUUUGAUGGAUGGACGUUGUUAAUGUGUUGUGACUAGGGUUUCGGCGAGGCUCACGUUAGAGGACUGUGCUCGGGGCAUCGGUGCUCAUAAAGCUCGGAACUCAGAGUUGAACAAGACUUCGAGAACUCAUGCACAAACCAUUCAGAAAUCAGAAGCAAUCAACAAGUUAAAGCAAUCAGAAGAAAGAAAAAUAAAGAGAAGAUGCAAGACAACAAUUUUAUCGAGGUUUACCCCAAUCUGGGUUACGUCCUCAUUAAGCUCUCCUAGGGAAGCUCAGAUAUGCACUAGACAUUCAAUUUGGUACAUCAAUGAUCAAGGAAUCCAUGCCACAGUCUUGACAGAGUCAACCAAGAGGUGAACCCCUUUUACAAGAGUGGUCAAGCCUCACACUCACAGCCCCUUUCUUUCCUUUUUUCGCUCUUCAGAAUUUUCAGCUCAUGAGGGAAUUACUCCACAUCUACCUAUAUUUUUGCCCUUGGGUGUGAAAAAUAUUAUUGUUUUUCAAUGAGAUUGCAGUUUAUAUUUAAGCAGCAGACUUUUGUUUCUUUUGUUAUCUUGAUACUAAAAGUAGAAGUAAGACAAACCAAAAAGAAUACACUUGAUUUUAAGAAACAAUAAUAUAGCAAGUUACAUUAUUCUCUGAAGCAUUGAAUAAAAUGAAGAGAAUCAUUUCAAUUUGCCCCCA